AUGGUUUGUACGCCGAAGUGGGCAGGUGGAUUGGGGCUGCCAAACCUCAGAUGGAUGAAUAUUGCCAUGCAAGCCCGCUGGCCGUGGCUCAUGAGGACAGAUGAGUCAAGACCAUGGAAGGAAUUCAUAGUCAAAGUCCCGGAAGAAGCACAAAUGCUAUGUCAAGCAGCCAUGAGGAGCACUAUGCGGUCUGGACGAACAACACGCUUUUGGGAGGACCGAUGGCUUCAUGGACAAAGAAUACAGGAGUUGGCGCCGCGAGUCUAUGAAUUGGUGCACCCCCGCACUCGCAACAUGAGGAUGGUCAGUACGGCCAUGCAGGACGGCUCUUGGGCGACGGACAUCAGCCCCAACCUUGAACCGGAAACCUUACACCAGUUUCUAGCGCUAUGGCAACUGCUCAAUGGUUGGGAGCUUUCUGAUGACGAGCCGGAUGAGAUAACAUGGUCGUGGGAGACAAAUGGGCAGUUCUCUGUGAAAUCAGCUUAUGCGGCAGCUUUCUGGGGCCGGGAGGUGGCCCAAACAGCGGACCUGACAUGGAAAUCACGUGCUCCUAUGAAAUGCAGGUUUUUCACAUGGCUAGCCAUGAAGAAUCGAUGCUGGACCUCGGAUCAACUAGCACGCAGAGGCCUACCCCAUAAGGACGCAUGCCCUUUCUGUGAUCAAGAGGAGGAAACGAUCGACCAUGUUCUACUCGCAUGUGUUUUUGCUCGCACAGUGUGGGCAGCGAUCUUCGUCGCGUUGGGGACACCAAGUUGGAUUCCUACUGCCCAAGAAACGCUGGUGGAGUGGGCCGUUGACAAGCGUGGUUCAAACAACGUCAGCACGAAGGACCUUCGCACCAUCUUUGCGCUUACUUGGUGGGAGUUGUGGAAGUAUAUGAAUGCAAUUGUCUUCGAGGGCGCGCGUCCUUCGGUUGAGCAGUUACUAAGAAGCAUGUGCGCGGAGGGUUCCUCUUGGUCAACCGCUGGGUUACUACGAGGAGGUGUAAUGCCUUUCUUUGCUAGGGUAGAGAGGUGGGUGAGUGAUGAGGAUUAG
rnacentral:rRNA from 1 species